GGGUUGUGAGGUUAAGCGACUAAGCGUACACGGUGGAUGCCUAGGCAGUCAGAGGCGAUGAAGGGCGUGCUAAUCUGCGAAAAGCGUCGGUAAGCUGAUAUGAAGCGUUACAACCGACGAUACCCGAAUGGGGAAACCCAGUGCAAUUCGUUGCACUAUUGCAUGGUGAAUACAUAGCCAUGCAAGGCGAACCGGGGGAACUGAAACAUCUAAGUACCCCGAGGAAAAGAAAUCAACCGAGAUUCCCCCAGUAGCGGCGAGCGAACGGGGAAGAGCCCAGAGUCUGAAUCAGUUUAUGUGUUAGUGGAAGCGUCUGGAAAGUCGCACGGUACAGGGUGAUAGUCCCGUACACAAAAAUGCAUAUUCUGUGAACUCGAUGAGUAGGGCGGGACACGUGACAUCCUGUCUGAAUAUGGGGGGACCAUCCUCCAAGGCUAAAUACUCCUGACUGACCGAUAGUGAACCAGUACCGUGAGGGAAAGGCGAAAAGAACCCCGGCGAGGGGAGUGAAAUAGAACCUGAAACCGUGUACGUACAAGCAGUGGGAGCACCUUCGUGGUGUGACUGCGUACCUUUUGUAUAAUGGGUCAGCGACUUAUAUUUUGUAGCAAGGUUAACCGAAUAGGGGAGCCGUAGGGAAACCGAGUCUUAACUGGGCGUCUAGUUGCAAGGUAUAGACCCGAAACCCGGUGAUCUAGCCAUGGGCAGGUUGAAGGUUGGGUAACACUAACUGGAGGACCGAACCGACUAAUGUUGAAAAAUUAGCGGAUGACUUGUGGCUGGGGGUGAAAGGCCAAUCAAACCGGGAGAUAGCUGGUUCUCCCCGAAAGCUAUUUAGGUAGCGCCUCGUGAACUCAUCUUCGGGGGUAGAGCACUGUUUCGGCUAGGGGGUCAUCCCGACUUACCAAACCGAUGCAAACUCCGAAUACCGAAGAAUGUUAUCACGGGAGACACACGGCGGGUGCUAACGUCCGUCGUGAAGAGGGAAACAACCCAGACCGCCAGCUAAGGUCCCAAAGUCAUGGUUAAGUGGGAAACGAUGUGGGAAGGCACAGACAGCCAGGAUGUUGGCUUAGAAGCAGCCAUCAUUUAAAGAAAGCGUAAUAGCUCACUGGUCGAGUCGGCCUGCGCGGAAGAUGUAACGGGGCUAAACCAUGCACCGAAGCUGCGGCAGCGACACUUAGGUGUUGUUGGGUAGGGGAGCGUUCUGUAAGCCGUUGAAGGUGACCUGUGAGGGUUGCUGGAGGUAUCAGAAGUGCGAAUGCUGACAUAAGUAACGAUAAUGCGGGUGAAAAACCCGCACGCCGGAAGACCAAGGGUUCCUGUCCAACGUUAAUCGGGGCAGGGUGAGUCGACCCCUAAGGCGAGGCUGAAAAGCGUAGUCGAUGGGAAACAGGUUAAUAUUCCUGUACUUGGUGUUACUGCGAAGGGGGGACGGAGAAGGCUAGGCUAUCCGGGCGACGGUUGUCCCGGUUUAAGCAUGUAGGCGGAGUGACCAGGUAAAUCCGGUUGCUUAUCAACGCUGAGGUGUGAUGACGAGCCACUACGGUGGUGAAGUAGUUGAUGCCAAGCUUCCAGGAAAAGCCUCUAAGCAUCAGGUAACAUUAAAUCGUACCCCAAACCGACACAGGUGGUCAGGUAGAGAAUACUCAGGCGCUUGAGAGAACUCGGGUGAAGGAACUAGGCAAAAUGGUGCCGUAACUUCGGGAGAAGGCACGCUGGCGGUAGGUGAAGAGACUUGCUCUCGGAGCUGAAGCCAGUCGCAGAUACCAGCUGGCUGCAACUGUUUAAUAAAAACACAGCACUGUGCAAACACGAAAGUGGACGUAUACGGUGUGACGCCUGCCCGGUGCUGGAAGGUUAAUUGAUGGGGUCAGCCGCAAGGCGAAGCUCUUGAUCGAAGCCCCAGUAAACGGCGGCCGUAACUAUAACGGUCCUAAGGUAGCGAAAUUCCUUGUCGGGUAAGUUCCGACCUGCACGAAUGGCGUAAUGAUGGCCAGGCUGUCUCCACCCGAGACUCAGUGAAAUUGAACUCGCUGUGAAGAUGCAGUGUACCCGCGGCAAGACGGAAAGACCCCGUGAACCUUUACUAUAGCUUGACACUGAACAUUGAGCCUUGAUGUGUAGGAUAGGUGGGAGGCAUUGAAGUGUGGACGCCAGUCUGCAUGGAGCCAACCUUGAAAUACCACCCUUUAAUGUUUGAUGUUCUAACUCGGCCCCGUAAUCCGGGGUGAGGACAGUGUCUGGUGGGUAGUUUGACUGGGGCGGUCUCCUCCCAAAGAGUAACGGAGGAGCACGAAGGUUAGCUAAUCACGGUCGGACAUCGUGAGGUUAGUGCAAAGGCAUAAGCUAGCUUGACUGCGAGAGUGACGGCUCGAGCAGGUACGAAAGUAGGUCUUAGUGAUCCGGUGGUUCUGAAUGGAAGGGCCAUCGCUCAACGGAUAAAAGGUACUCCGGGGAUAACAGGCUGAUACCGCCCAAGAGUUCAUAUCGACGGCGGUGUUUGGCACCUCGAUGUCGGCUCAUCACAUCCUGGGGCUGAAGUAGGUCCCAAGGGUAUGGCUGUUCGCCAUUUAAAGUGGUACGCGAGCUGGGUUUAGAACGUCGUGAGACAGUUCGGUCCCUAUCUGCCGUGGGCGUUGGAAGAUUGAGAGGGGCUGCUCCUAGUACGAGAGGACCGGAGUGGACGAAUCACUGGUGUUCGGGUUGUCAUGCCAAUGGCAUUGCCCGGUAGCUAAAUUCGGAAGAGAUAACCGCUGAAAGCAUCUAAGCGGGAAACUUGCCUCGAGAUGAGUCUUCCCUGGGGCUUUAAGCCCCCUGAAGGAACGUUAAAGACUAUGACGUUGAUAGGCUGGGUGUGUAAGUGCAGCGAUGCAUUGAGCUAACCAGUACUAAUGAUCCGUGAGGCUUAACCUUACAACACCAAAGGUGUUUUG
rnacentral:rRNA from 1 species